rnacentral:rRNA from 1 species
GAUGAACGCUAGCGGCAGGCUUAAUACAUGCAAGUCGUGGGGCAGCAUGAGUAGCAAUACUUGAUGGCGACCGGCAAACGGGUGAGGAACACGUACACAACCUUCCUUCAAGCGGGGAAUAGCCCAGAGAAAUUUGGAUUAAUACCCCAUAAUAUAUUUGAUAAGGCAUCUUAUUAAUAUUAAAGCUUCGGCACUUGAUGAUGGGUGUGCGGCUGAUUAGAUAGUUGGCGGGUAACGGGCCCACCAAGUCUACGAUCCCAGUAGCUGAUGUGAGAGCAUGAUCAGCCACACGGGCACUGAGACACGGGCCCGACUCCUACGGAGGCAGCAGUAAGGAAUAAUUGGACAAUAGGACGAAAGUACUGAU